GACAAAGGCAAGGGGGGGGGAGAAGAGGCAGAGGAGACAGAGAUGGAAAGGGAGACGAAGAACAAAGUCACCAGAUUACUUCUUGCCAAGACAAACUGAACCUCAGAGUUUUCCUUUACUUAUCUCUCUACCUCAAAAAGGGGCUGAAAAUGCAGGAGCCCAGAGUAUGGAGGAGGGUGGGAAGUAGGAAGGGGGUGUCUGGCACCGAUGACAAUUUCCAGCGGGGUGCGCCUAUAGUACUGACGACUGAGCUGUGGGGUUUAUGAUCCCGGCUGUUAUUAGGAGUAUUAACCAUGCCCAUAAUGCUCUCUCUUUUUUCACUGGUUCCUAGCUCGGUGGCUGUAAAGGCCUUUCCACGCAAGCAGAGGAGGAAAGAUAGGAAACUGAUCCGGGAGGGGGAGUCCCCCCUGAAGCCUGUCGGAGGGAGGAGAAACCCCGGGGAGAGAGCAGAUGGGGGACCUCCAAAAAGGCCCCAGCCUGGGGAAAGGAAAUCCUCUCCGCCCAGGGCACCGGUCGGCCUUUCCAUCGGAUCUCCCUAAGAAAGUCCUCAGUAUCCCGGAGCCUCAUCCUGAAAGAGCCCAAAGGCCGCCGAGGUCAGCAGGGUGUCAGACGCUGCCCCUACCCCCCUGCCCCACCUUCCACCUCGGCACUUUUCAAAGAGUAUUAGAAAUGGGCAAAUUAUGACCUUUCAGCUACAAGGCUAAGGAAAUUCCGGCCUCCAAUUUCUCCCCCGCUCGGCCCCAAGUCAAGGACGCACCGGGGUACGCUUCUUUCCCAGUCCCAGAAAAUUAGGUCUCGAGCCUCGCUCCAGCUUUGGAAAAGCAAAGUUCUGCCUGACUGAGAUCGACUACUGGGGGUGGGGUGGGUGGGGAAGCUAAGCAGAAACAUUCAGAGAAAUUGUCCUGGCCGCUUCCGGAAAAGGCCGGCCCCAAGACUUACUCUUUAUUCGCCUUUUCCAAGAAAGUCUUUCAAGAAUUCUCUGAUUUCUUCGACUCGGAUUCCCGUUCUUCUUUGUCUCUCUCCGUCUUGCGUUCUUUUUCUUCUUUCUUUUCCUUUCAUUUUUCUCUCUUUUUUAACCUUUCUUCCUACCUCUUUACCUUUCUUCCUCUCUGGCUCUCUUUUGCCUCUACUUCCUUUCUUUCCCUUCAUUUCUCCUUUUUCUCCUAUUUUUUUUUAUAUUCCUUUUCUCCCUCUCUCCUUGCUUUCUUUCCCUAUCUUAAUCUUUCCCUUUUUCCUUCCCUUUUCUUCCUUCGUGCUUUUGCUUUCUUUCUCUUUCUUCUCUUUAGACCACCUUUUUUUUUAUUUUCUGUCUUUUUUGUGUGUUCUUUCGUCAUUUUUUCCUCUUUCAUUUUUUCUAUCUUUCUCUUUCUCCGUCUUCCAACGACUAAGAUUUUUUUUAUGCUCGAGAAGUCUCUUUCCCGGGUCUCGCUCCACUCCUAUUUUUUUUAGCUUGUUGUUGAUCAAAUAAAACAAUUAAACUUCUACCUACUCACUUUUCUUUCCCUGUCCACCAACUCACUUUUCUGUGCCGGACCACCGAUUCACUUUUCUAUCCCGGCAUCCUUGGGGUUCUAGUGUGAAACCCUGCGCCAGAUUCUCCUUCCGUGUCCUCCUCCCCGUCCCUUCCCUAGUGACACCCUCCUCUUAGUCUAGCCUUUUGGUACUUGAGAAUUCACUUAACUUUUAUUUUCUUUUUUUCCGGGCCAGAAGGUAGGCCUUGAUUUAAACGAUAAAGAUGAAAAGGAGAGGAUAGUUCCUGGUUACAAAGGACUCUCUCUAAAUCUCUGAUAGAGCUUUUCCUUGAAUUGUUAGAAGGAAAUUAAGAAGUAAUGCUCUAAGGCGGCAAAGAGGAAAUCAACCACUUUAUCAACCGAGUUGAACCGCUAUAUAGGGGGAAAGGCAGAUAGGAGUGAAAAGGGUAAUAUGCGAAUGUCAAGGACCAGACUAACACGUCCCUGGAAGAGGAAGGCCUGAGCACCCACUGACAAGGAAGCUUGUAGUGUAAUGGGUGGGUUAGUGGAGCUUCUAAGCGUGAGGCCUCUGAAUAGUCCACCCAAAGAUGCCGGGCUGAGCCCGCCGAGAUCCAUCGAGAUAUGUCGCUAAUAAUCACACCGAGAAGCCCAAAGGCCGCACAGAAGGCAGCCAAGGCCUGCGAUCUAAGUCGCCGGGGGCUCGGUUUCGGCUCUAAAAGUGGCUAGCGAAGGCGGAGAAUUGGAUCGGAAUGGAGACCCGGGCUCGGAGUCUUGAGAUCGAAAGGGAGCAGAAGCCCAGAGAGUCCGCAACCUGGACCAAAGGUUCCUCCUUCUGCUCCCACCCACUCCCAGUAAUAUUGAGCUGCCAGUAUUAGAAGACCCUCGGAUUCAGCAGCCGCUUUCCUCUUAGUUCGAUGGACCACUGGGACCCAUCCCCUCGAUGUGUCCUACUUUCUCCUCGCCCAAUUGAAAAAGACUAGAAAACGUGUUUUAGUGGGAAGAUCCCUAGAUUUCGAAUUCGGAGGUUUCCAGUCUACUUAGUAGUUGUGUGACCCCUGACAAAUCCUUUCAUCCCCUCUGAGUCUCUUUUGCCUUUCCUCUAGUGCUGCGUCCCACAUCCCACAAUCAAGCACACACCUAUAGUGGGAUGAGUGGUCAGCGGGAAUUGUAUCCAGCCCAUCCUUCAAGCCCCCGUCCCCAUCUCGCCUUACCCUGUGUUCACCCCAAGGACCCAGACCCCAGACAGGAUCCAGGGACCUAAACAAGGAUGUAAAUUAAAAUUUACAUCACAAGCUAAA